AUAUAUAUAUAUAUAUAUAUAUAUAUAUAUAUAGAGAGAGAGAGAGAGAGAGAGUGUGGUGUCUAAAUAUUCAGUCUGGCUAUAAAAGGCAUAAGCCUCCCUAGGGACACUUUAGUAAUUGUGCGUUAGUUUGCACAUAUUUUAAAUCCACUACAGAUAGUCAAUGUAUUCUUCCACUUUUCUUAAAAAAAAAAAAAAAGAAACAAACAAAACUAAUAAAUGUAACCUUCCAUUUUAUUGAGGCAAUUCAUAUUAGAGCCAGUGGCAAUUUGCACCAGGUUUUCUGCAACACGCAAAGGAUGCAGUUCUGACAUUGUGAAUGGUACGCUGUACGUUUCAUCCACGUGGUACGUCUGUAGAAGAUAGUCGGCUCAUUAAAGCACAAUAGGAUGUAUUUGUCGGCAAUAUAAUGACAAUGUCGGUGCAAAAAAAAAA